GGAGAGCGUUCUAAGGGCGUUGAAGCAUGAUCGUAAGGACAUGUGGAGCGCUUAGAAGUGAGAAUGCCGGUGUGAGUAGCGAAAGACGGGUGAGAAUCCCGUCCACCGAUUGACUAAGGUUUCCAGAGGAAGGCUCGUCCGCUCUGGGUUAGUCGGGUCCUAAGCUGAGGCCGACAGGCGUAGGCGAUGGAUAACAGGUUGAUAUUCCUGUACCACCUAUAAUCGUUUUAAUCGAUGGGGGGACGCAGUAGGAUAGGCGAAGCGUGCGAUUGGAUUGCACGUCUAAGCAGUAAGGCUGAGUAUUAGGCAAAUCCGGUACUCGUUAAGGCUGAGC
rnacentral:rRNA from 1 species